rfam:Fusarium graminearum chromosome 2, complete genome
GCUGCGCUGGCGCAAUGGUUAGCGCGUUGCUUUCCGGUGGCAAAGGUUCCAAGUUCGAGUCCUGGGUGCAGCU